CCUACGGGAGGCUGCAGUGGGGAAUAUUGGACAAUGGGCGAAAGCCUGAUCCAGCCAUGCCGCGUGUGUGAAGAAGGCCUUCGGGUUGUAAAGCACUUUCAGUGGGGAAGAAAGCCUUGGGGCUAAUACCCUCGAGGAAGGACAUCACCCACAGAAGAAGCACCGGCUAACUCCGUGCCAGCAGCCGCGGUAAUACGGAGGGUGCGAGCGUUAAUCGGAAUUACUGGGCGUAAAGCGCGCGUAGGCGGUCUGAUAAGCCGGUUGUGAAAGCCCCGGGCUCAACCUGGGAACGGCAUCCGGAACUGUCAGGCUAGAGUGCAGGAGAGGAAGGUAGAAUUCCCGGUGUAGCGGUGAAAUGCGUAGAGAUCGGGAGGAAUACCAGUGGCGAAGGCGGCCUUCUGGACUGACACUGACGUUGAGGUGCGAAAGCGUGGGUAGCAAACAGGAUUAGAUACCCUGGUAGUC
rnacentral:rRNA from 1 species